rfam:Oceanobacter sp. HI0075 HI0075_c500, whole genome shotgun sequence.
GCAUACCACUGUAAAUGUGCACGGUGGUGAUGUUUUUUAAGGCACAUUCAUGGAGUUAAGAACAUGGCAUUAUCUGCUGAAAAGAAAGCUGAAAUCGUAAACGAGUUCAAGACCGCUGAA